AGCCGCCGCGGGAACACCGGCGGCCCGAGUGGUGAUCGUGAUUAUUGGGUCUAAAGGGUCCGUAGCCGGUUUGGUCAGUCCUCCGGGAAAUCUGAUAGCUCAACUAUUAGGCUUUCGGGGGAUACUGCCAGACUUGGAACCGGGAGAGGUAAGAGGUACUACAGGGGUAGGAGUGAAAUCUUGUAAUCCCUGUGGGACCACCUGUGGCGAAGGCGUCUUACCAGAACGGGUUCGACGGUGAGGGACGAAAGCUGGGGGCACGAACCGGAUUAGAUACCCGGGUAGUCCCAGCCGUAAACGAUGCUCGCUAGGUGUCAGGCAUGGCGCGACCGUGUCUGGUGCCGCAGGGAAGCCGUGAAGCGAGCCACCUGGGAAGUACGGCCGCAAGGCUGAAACUUAAAGGAAUUGGCGGGGGAGCACAACAACGGGUGGAAGCCUGCGGUUUAAUUGGACUCAACGCCGGACAACUCACCGGGGGCGACAGCAAUAUGUAGGCCAAGCUGAAGACUUUGCCUGAAUCGCUGAGGGGUGGUGCAUGG
rnacentral:rRNA from 1 species